CCGUGGUCGGGCGGCGGGCCGUCCCUGUGGCCCAGGGCCACGGAGAGCGCUUCUCCCAGAUCGGCAGGCGGCUGUGCCGCGGCCGCCUCCGCGAUC
rnacentral:tRNA from 1 species